CCUACGGGGGGCAGCAGUGGGGAAUAUUGGGCAAUGGGCGCAAGCCUGACCCAGCAACGCCGCGUGAAGGAAGAAGGCUUUCGGGUUGUAAACCUCUUUUGUCAGGGAGCAAAGUCACCCACGUGUGGGUGUUGGAGAGUACCUGAAGAAAAAGCAUCGGCUAACUCCGUGCCAGCAGCCGCGGUAAUACGGAGGAUGCGAGCGUUAUCCGGAUUUAUUGGGUUUAAAGGGUGCGUAGGCGGGUUAUCAAGUCAGCGGUAAAAUCGUGGAGCUCAACUCCAUCCAGCCGUUGAAACUGAUGAUCUUGAGUGGGCGAGAAGUAUGCGGAAUGCGUGGUGUAGCGGUGAAAUGCAUAGAUAUCACGCAGAACUCCGAUUGCGAAGGCAGCAUACCGGCGCCCGACUGACGCUGAAGCACGAAAGCGUGGGUAUCGAACAGGAUUAGAUACCCCAGUAGUC
rnacentral:rRNA from 1 species